GUGCCAGCCGCCGCGGUAAUACGGGGGGUGCGAGCGUUGUCCGGAUUCACUGGGCGUAAAGGGCGCGUAGGCGGCUUACUCAGUCCGGUCUUCAAGCGCGGGGCUUACCCCCGCGAAGGGCCGGGGACGGGUGGGCUGGGGGCCGGUCGAGGGAUGCGGAAUGCCGGGUGUAGUGGUGAAAUGCGUAGAGAUCCGGCGGAACACCGGUGGUGGAGGCGGCAUCCUGGGCCGGAACCGACGCUGAGGCGCGAGAGCGCGGGGAGCGAACCGGAUUAGAAACCCUUGUAGUCC
rnacentral:rRNA from 1 species